CCGCAGGCUUGGAUUGGGUGGCCAGGUGCAGUGUCUUCUCGCGAGACUUAAUCUUUCUGGAAGAAGUGAGCCCUGAAGCUAAUUUUGGAGCACCCAGGCUGAGUCAUCAAGGCCUCUAGCUAACAGUCAAACAGCAAGUGAUGGGCACCACCAAUUUCCAGCAUUGGUUCUCAACGGCACUACUUCACAGCAUGGAGAGACUUAUUUCCUGCCACGAUUUAGGGUGCCGUCCAGCAUCAUCUGAGGUUAGACAUCAAGGAUACAGCUCAACAUUCUGUCGUGCGUGAGGUAUUCCCCCCGAAUCCACGAAUGCUCCAGCUUGUGAACAGCCGAGGUGAGGAAGGCUGGUUCGCAGGGAAGAAGCUACCCCCAAACCCCAAGAGUUUCACCUGCAGAGAAAGCUUUCCUAUGGGAUGCAUUCUGAAGCUGUGUUCUAGCUUCCUCUUUAUUAGGAGCUGGGUGUGAUGCAGACUCUGAAUUCUGCAACAAUAGUCACUGCAUA